rnacentral:rRNA from 1 species
UACGUAGGGUGCAAGCGUUGUCCGGAAUUAUUGGGCGUAAAGAGCUCGUAGGUGGCCUGUCGCGUCGGCUGUGAAAACUCGGGGCUCAACUCCGAGCUUGCAGUCGAUACGGGCAGGCUAGAGUUCGGCAGGGGAGACUGGAAUUCCCGGUGUAGCGGUGAAAUGCGCAGAUAUCGGGAGGAACACCGGUGGCGAAGGCGGUUCUCUGGGCCUUACCUGACGCUGAGGAGCGAAAGCGUGGGGAGCGAACAGG